AAUUUUCAGCGACGGAUAUCUUGGCUCGAGCACCUAUGAAGGGCGCAGCGAAGUGCGAUAAUCGUUGUGAUUUGCAGAACUCCGUGAACCAAUGGCCUCUUGAACGUGCAUUGCGCUCUUGGGAUAUGCCUGAGAGCAUGUCUGCUUCAGUG
rnacentral:rRNA from 1 species